GAUGAACGCUGGCGGCGUGCCUAAUACAUGCAAGUCGAGCGAACAGAUGAGGAGCUUGCUCCUCUGACGUUAGCGGCGGACGGGUGAGUAACACGUGGAUAACCUACCUAUAAGACUGGGAUAACUUCGGGAAACCGGAGCUAAUACCGGAUAAUAUAUUGAACCGCAUGGUUCAAUAGUGAAAGACGGUUUUGCUGUCACUUAUAGAUGGAUCCGCGCCGCAUUAGCUAGUUGGUAAGGUAACGGCUUACCAAGGCAACGAUGCGUAGCCGACCUGAGAGGGUGAUCGGCAACACUGGAACUGGGACACGGUCCAGACUCCUACGGGAGGCAGCAGUAGGGAAUCUUCCGCAAUGGGCGAAAGCCUGACGGAGCAACGCCGCGUGAGUGAUGAAGGUCUUCGGAUCGUAAAACUCUGUUAUUAGGGAAGAACAAAUGUGUAAGUAACUAUGCACGUCUUGACGGUACCUAAUCAGAAAGCCACGGCUAACUACGUG
rnacentral:rRNA from 1 species